GCUUACGGCCAUAUCAGCCUGGGUACGCCCGAUCUCGUCUGAUCUCGGAAGCUAAGCAGGGUCGUGCCUGGUUAGUACUUGGAUGGGAGACCGCCUGGGAAUACCAGGUGCUGUAAGCA
rnacentral:rRNA from 2 species